rnacentral:miRNA from 1 species
GGCUGGUCAGAUGGGAGUG